rnacentral:rRNA from 1 species
GGGCAAACCGAAGAGUUUACUCUUCGGGGUUGUAGGACUGCAAUGUGGACUCAAAGAUUAUAGAAGAAUGAUUUGGGAAGAUCAGCCAAAGAGAGUAAUAGCCUCGUAUUUAAAAUAGUCUUUGUACUUAGCAGUAUCCUGAGUACGGCGGGACACGUGAAAUCCCGUCGGAAUCUGGGAGGACCAUCUCCCAACCCUAAAUACUCCCUAGUGACCGAUAGUGAACCAGUACCGUGAGGGAAAGGUGAAAAGCACCCCGGGAGGGGAGUGAAAUAGAACCUGAAACCGUGUGCCUACAACAAGUUCGAGCCCGUUAAUGGGUGAGAGCGUGCCUUUUGUAGAAUGAACCGGCGAGUUACGUUAUGAUGCGAGGUUAAGUUGAAGAGACGGAGCCGUAGGGAAACCGAGUCUGAAUAGGGCGCCUUAGUAUCAUGACGUAGACCCGAAACCAUGUGACCUACCCAUGAGCAGGUUGAAGGUGCGGUAAGACGCACUGGAGGACCGAACCAGGGCACGUUGAAAAGUGCUUGGAUGACUUGUGGGUAGCGGAGAAAUUCCAAACGAACUUGGAGAUAGCUGGUUCUCUCCGAAAUAGCUUUAGGGCUAGCGUCGACAUUAGAGAUUCUUGGAGGUAGAGCACUGUUUGGGUGAGGGGUCCAUCCCGGAUUACCAAUCUCAGAUAAACUCCGAAUGCCAAUGAAUUAUGGUCGGCAGUCAGACUGCGAGUGCUAAGAUCCGUAGUCGAAAGGGAAACAGCCCAGACCACCAGCUAAGGUCCCAAAAUAAUUGUUAAGUGGAAAAGGAUGUGGGGUUGCACAGACAACUAGGAUGUUAGCUUAGAAGCAGCUAUUCAUUCAAAGAGUGCGUAAUAGCUCACUAGUCGAGUGACCCUGCGCCGAAAAUGUACCGGGGCUAAAACAAUUUACCGAAGCUGUGGAUACCUUUAUAGGUAUGGUAGGAGAGCGUUCUAUGUGUGAUGAAGGUAUACCGUGAGGAGUGCUGGAACGCAUAGAAGUGAGAAUGCCGGUAUGAGUAGCGAAAGACAGGUGAGAAUCCUGUCCACCGUAAGACUAAGGUUUCCAGGGGAAGGCUCGCCCGCCCUGGGUUAGUCGGGACCUAAGGAGAGACCGAAAGGUGUAUCCGAUGGACAACAGGUUGAUAUUCCUGUACUAGAGUAUGUAGUGAUGGAGGGACGCAGUAGGCUAACUAAAGCAGACGAUUGGAAGAGUCUGUCUAAGCAGUGAGGUGUGAAUUGAGUCAAAUGCUUAAUUCUAUAACAUUGAGCUGUGAUGGGGAGCGAAGUUUAGUAGCGAAGUUAGUGACGUCACACUGCCAAGAAAAGCUUCUAGCGUUUAACCAUACUCUACCCGUACCGCAAACCGACACAGGUAGUCGAGGCGAGUAGCCUCAGGUGAGCGAGAGAACUCUCGUUAAGGAACUCGGCAAAAUGACCCCGUAACUUCGGGAGAAGGGGUGCUGACUUUAAGUCAGCCGCAGUGAAUAGGCCCAAGCAACUGUUUAUCAAAAACACAGCUCUCUGCUAAAUCGUAAGAUGAUGUAUAGGGGGUGACGCCUGCCCGGUGCUGGAAGGUUAAGAGGAGUGCUUAGCGUAAGCGAAGGUAUGAAUUGAAGCCCCAGUAAACGGCGGCCGUAACUAUAACGGUCCUAAGGUAGCGAAAUUCCUUGUCGGGUAAGUUCCGACCCGCACGAAAGGCGUAAUGAUUUGGGCACUGUCUCAACGAGAGACUCGGUGAAAUUUUAGUACCUGUGAAGAUGCAGGUUACCCGCGACAGGACGGAAAGACCCCAUGGAGCUUUACUGCAGUUUGAUAUUGAGUGUCUGUACCACAUGUACAGGAUAGGUAGGAGUCUAAGAGAUCGGGACGCCAGUUUCGAAGGAGACGCUGUUGGGAUACUACCCUUGUGUUAUGGCCACUCUAACCCAGAUAGGUGAUCCCUAUCGGAGACAGUGUCUGACGGGCAGUUUGACUGGGGCGGUCGCCUCCUAAAAGGUAACGGAGGCGCCCAAAGGUUCCCUCAGAAUGGUUGGAAAUCAUUCGCAGAGUGUAAAGGUAUAAGGGAGCUUGACUGCGAGAGCUACAACUCGAGCAGGGACGAAAGUCGGGCUUAGUGAUCCGGUGGUUCCGUAUGGAAGGGCCAUCGCUCAACGGAUAAAAGCUACCCUGGGGAUAACAGGCUUAUCUCCCCCAAGAGUUCACAUCGACGGGGAGGUUUGGCACCUCGAUGUCGGCUCGUCGCAUCCUGGGGCUGUAGUCGGUCCCAAGGGUUGGGCUGUUCGCCCAUUAAAGCGGCACGCGAGCUGGGUUCAGAACGUCGUGAGACAGUUCGGUCCCUAUCCGUCGCGGGCGUAGGAAAUUUGAGAGGAUCUGCUCCUAGUACGAGAGGACCAGAGUGGACUUACCGCUGGUGUACCAGUUGUCUUGCCAAAGGCAUCGCUGGGUAGCUAUGUAGGGAAGGGAUAAACGCUGAAAGCAUCUAAGUGUGAAACCCACCUCAAGAUGAGAUUUCCCAUGAUUAUAUAUCAGUAAGAGCCCUGAGAGAUGAUCAGGUAGAUAGGUUAGAAGUGGAAGUGUGGCGACACAUGUAGCGGACUAAUACUAAUAGCUCGAGGACUUAUCCAA